AUUGAACGCUGGCGGCAGGCCUAACACAUGCAAGUCGAGCGAGCGGCGGACGGGUGAGUAAUGUAUGGGGACUGCCCGAUAGAGGGGGCUAACCACUGGACACGGUCGCUAAUACCGCAUACUAUCGUAUCACCCAUAUGGGAUUAGCUAGUAGGUGGGGUAAAGGCUCACCUAGGCGACGAUCUCUAGCUGGUCUGAGAGGAUGAUCAGCCACACUGGGACUGAGACACGGCCCAGACUCCUACGGAGGCAGCAGUGGGGAAUAUUGCACAAUGGGCGAAAGCCUGAUGCAGCCAUGCCGCGUGUAUGAAGAAGGCCUUAGGGUUGUAAAGUACUUUCAGCGGGGAGGCGUUACCGACAGAAGAAGCACCGGCUAACUCCGUGCCAGCAGCCGCGGUAAUAC
rnacentral:rRNA from 1 species